CUCAUUGCCUCCCCGUCCCUGUCUCCCCUGACACUCGUUCCUCCAGAAGCCCGGUAAACCCCGUCCUUACGAGCCCCGCCCCUAGCUCUUCUACUACGGAGGGGAACUGCAGAGCCAGAAGAGCACGGAGCAGCAACUCGCAGCCCAAUUGGUGACGCUGCAGAAUGAACUGGAGCUGGCGGAGACCAAAUGCGCCUUGCAGGAGGAGAAGCUGCAGCAGGACGCGCUGCAGACAGCGGAGGCCUGGGCCAUAUUCCAGGAGCAGACCGUAGUCCUGCAGGUGCGGCCCCACUCAGACGCCAAGGUGCCUCCCGCCUCUCCUCCCCCAGACCUGGGGCGGUGUGACGGGCAGCUUCGCAGAGUGCAGUACAGCACCGAGUCGCUCAUGGAGGAGAUGGCCAGGGCGGACCGAGUGAGCGCCUGCGCGGGUCCGGGCGGGGUGGGCUGGAGCGGGACACCCCUCCCCAUCCCCCCCGCGGUACCGCCUCCCCCUCCUCCUGGAAACCGGGCCGGCGCCGCGGGCGCGGAGGUAGCUGGAUGCGGCCCUCUCUCCCCGCAGGAGACGCGGCUGUUCGGCGGUCCUCGCGCGCUGGCCAUCAGGUGAGC
rnacentral:lncRNA from 1 species